AUGUACUACGACUCGUGCACGCUCCACUACUCCAACGCCUCCCGGGACCCGGCGCCGGUGGCGGCGCGGACGUAUAGGUACUGGGAGAGCACAAAUGUCACGUCCGAGCAGGCCCUGUUCAACAGCCUCGUGGCCAGGCUCGUGAACGCCACCGCGGACUACGCCGCGUACAACUCCACACGCCGGUACGCCUCCGGGGAGGCCGACUUCGACCGGGAGUUUCCCAAGAUCUACAGCUGGGGGCAGUGCACGCCCGACCUCACCGGGCCGCAGUGCCGACAGUGCCUCGCCAAGAACACGGUGCUGCUGCCGGAGUAUUUCGUGGACAGCACAGGAGCCAGAGCUCUGCAGGUCAGGUGCAGCUUCCGGUACCAGACCUAUUCCUUCUUUGAUGGCCCUGUCAUGGUGCGGCUGCCAGCACCAUCAUCGAGCACCCAAGCACCCGCGCCUGCUCCUGCGCCUGUUGCGGUACCCACGGGUUUGACGCCGAAGCCGGCGACGGCAUCCACAAAAGAUCCCAGUUAUUUCGCCGACGAGGAGGACAAUGAAAGUGUAGACUCGAUGUUGAUUGACAUUUCAACCUUGCGAGUUGCAACCGGGAAUUUUGCAGAUAGCAACAAGCUUGGUGAUGGCGGAUUUGGUGCCGUGUACAAGGGUAUUCUUCCAGACGGUGACGAAAUAGCAGUGAAGAGACUAUCAAAGAGCUCAACACAAGGAGUAGAGGAGCUCAAAAAUGAACUCUCUUUGGUUGCAAAGCUUAGGCACAAGAACCUUGUCACACUUCUUGGCGUCUGCUUGGAGCAACAAGAGAGGCUGCUUGUCUACGAGUUCGUUCCUAACCGAAGCCUCGACCUCUUCCUUUUCGAUGCUGAGAAACAUGUAGAACUGGAUUGGGAAAAGAGGUACAAGAUCAUUAAUGGAAUUGCUCGAGGAUUGCAAUACCUCCAUGAAGACUCCCAGCUCAGAGUGGUCCACCGUGAUCUCAAAACUAGCAACAUAUUGCUUGACAAAGAUAUGAAUCCGAAGAUAUCAGAUUUUGGAAUUGCGAGACUAUUUGGGCAAGAUCAGACCCAUGGAAUAACGAAACAUGUCGUCGGCACAUACGGAUAUAUGGCACCGGAGUACGUGAUGUGUGGGAACUACUCUGUGAAAUCUGAUUCAUUCAGCUUCGGCGUCAUGGUUCUUGAGAUUGUGACGGGAAGGAAGAACAAUGACUACAAUAAUUCUGAGAAAUCUCAAGAUCUUCUGAAUGUGAUGUGGGACCGUUGGAUGGCCACAACAGUGUUGGACAUGAUGGAUCCGUGCAUGAACACCAGCUUCUCAGAGAGCUGCGUGCUAAGAUGCAUCCAUAUAGGGCUUCUGUGUGUUCAAGAAAACCCGGCUGAUCGACCACUUAUGUCGUCUGUGGUCAUGAUGCUCGGAAGCGAUACCGUGCCUCUCUCUGCCCCAUCUAAGCCGGCGUUCUACACCAAGGAGGCUAGCGACAACUUGGGCAUCGCGUCAACUUAG
rnacentral:rRNA from 1 species